GGCCGGCUGGCGAAAUGGCAUCGCGUCUGACUACGAUAUGCUCCUUGCUUAUGUAAUCAGGAGAUUUCAGGUUCGACCCCUGAGUCGGUCA